GAUGAAGAACGUAGUGAAAUGCGAUAAGUAAUGUGAAUUGCAGAAUUCAGUGAAUCAUCGAAUCUUUGAACGCAUCUUGCGCUCCUUGGUAUUCUGAGGAGCAUGCCCGUUUGAGUGUCAUUAAAUUCUCAACCGCACUGACUUUGAAUUGGUGUGGCUUGGAUUUGGGGGGAAAAUUGUUGUGGGCUUUUUUGUAUAGUCUGCUCCCCUGAAAUUGAUUAGCGGUACCUUUGUGGAACUGUCUACAGGUGUGAUAAUUAUCUACAUCCUAGACAUCUGCUGGAAUGCUGCUUUCUAAACCUUACUUGUAUUGACAAUCUUGACCUCAAAUCAGGUAGGACUACCCGCUGAACUUAAGCAUAUCAAUAAGCGGAGGA
rnacentral:misc_RNA from 1 species